rnacentral:piRNA from 1 species
UAAAAUGUUUUCCCAAAUUCUCUUGGUGUG